rnacentral:rRNA from 1 species
CCUACGGGUGGCAGCAGUGGGGAAUAUUGCGCAAUGGGCGAAAGCCUGAAGCAGCGAAGUAGCGUGAGGGAUGAAGGUCCUCGGAGCGUAAACCUCUGUCAGCAGGGAAGAACGGUCACUGUGCUAAUCAGCAGUGAAUUGACGGUACCUGCAAAGGAAGCACCGGCUAACGCCGUGCCAGCAGCCGCGGUAAUACGGAGGGUGCGAGCGUUAAUCGGAAUUACUGGGCGUAAAGCGCUCGUAGGCGGUAUGUCAAGUCAAGGGUGAAAUCCCCGCGCUCAACCUGAGAACUGCCUUUGAAACUGGCAAACUGGAGUGUGUGAGAGGAUGGUGGAAUUCCAGGUGUAGGGGUGAAAUCCGUAGAUAUCUGGAGGAACAUCAGUGGCGAAGGCGACUAUCUGGCACAUAACUGACGCUGAGGAGCGAAAGCGUGGGUAGCAAACAGGAUUAGAUACCCUGGUAGUC